rnacentral:rRNA from 1 species
GAGGGGUGCCCGAAGUCGCCGCGCUAACCGCAAGGGGGCAGACGCCCACGGUAUGACCGAUGAUUGGGGUGAAGUCGUAACAAAGUAGCCGUAGGUGAACCUGCAGAAGGAUCA